AGACCGGAAAGUUUCGUGGGGGCUGUCGGUGGCUUAUAUUAAGAAAACCUUGACCCCUCUUGUUGCUACCGCAGGCCAGUUAACAUUAAUUUUGGAUGGAAAUGGUAGGAUCCCGACUUGGACCCAAACCAAAUUCAUUUUUUUUAGAUUGGAUCCAGAUUAUAUAUGAACCUGAUUUGGUCCAUAUAACCCGUUGGAUCAAAAAUUUAAUUAUGGAUUCGAUCUGCCCAAACUCGAUCUUCUAUUUGAUUGGGUCUAAGUCUAAAAUUAGGAUCUGAAUAAAAAACUAGAUUGAGUUGAGGGCAUUCAUGAUUUGAUCCAACUCAAUCUACUUGCACCCCUAAUUACAAGACUAGUGUGACAUAAGAUACAACAGCCAUUCAAUAGAGUGGAAACUUUGUUCUUGUAUCACUCUCCGCUUUUUUCUUUCCUACUACUUCCAAACACUAUUCUUUGUUACCUUUUAAUAAAUUAUAGGAAGUUCUUGCCUUUCUCCUGUCACAUCAAAAAGAUAUACUUCUUGCAGGCUCAUUCCCUUUGCUUGCCUUUUGUGCAUACUUCUCCAUAAAUAAAUUUGGUCGGGUUUAUCGCCUCCCUUUUCAAUCAAGAGAGAGAGAGAGAGAG
rnacentral:lncRNA from 1 species